UGGGUCUUUGGCUUCAACUCAGAGUCAAAAAAGCAGUUCUCAGUGGAAGAUCCCACAGCGGCUAUGCUAACAGUCCAUGCCUCAGUGGAGAUGCAGGAGAAAAGUAGUGGGAACAGGACUUUCCCAGUGUACAGGGACGUUAAGCUGAGCUGCAUGAAGAAACAUGGAGGGAUUGCCCUAGGUGUGAUUGAAAAGCGAUGUAAUCACAUGCUACUGUGAAAGGAUGAUUUUGCGGUCUGAUUAUUGAACUGCUUCCUGUUGGAGUGCUACCAAAUUACUCGCUGAGGGACUUCGUCAUUAUGGUCACUGUCUGAGUCCAGCUUGAAUCAACACAGUGUUUGGAUUCCUCCAUCAGCUGAAGUCACCCAAAUGACUGUGGUGAAUGGAUGUGGAUAAUUAAUGGGAUUGUUAUGUUAUUUUACUUUAACAGUUAGUAUGUAAUACUUGGUACCACACACAGUGUAAAAGAUGGGUGUAUCUAUCUACCACUGAUUUCUGGCAUUUUACAUUGGCUAAUUAGUGCUAAGUGAAUUCACACAGUGAAAUGGUUCAAUUUAAAGACUCAAAGUAGUGGAUGAGGCCUAGCAGAUGCUAAUCACCUUAACUUACCUGUAUAAGGACACCUGUCAAUCAAAAACACCCUGCCCUUAACUCAGUUAUCCAGCUGGAUGAGUUUAAAUAUAAAUCAUCACACUCAAGACUUGUUAUGUGGAACACACUAUCCACACAGGCCAGUACUACUUUGUACACUUUUCAAUACUUUAAGUUGAGCUUGAGUUUAACAUGGGAGUCUGUGGGGACUGACUCCCUUUAGGACCCAGCCUGAAGUGGCACCUACAGAGGUGUAGUCUCCGUUAUCGCUGCAUUGGCUUCAUUUUUCAUCCGUGAAGGUUGCUCCUUUUUCACUAAGCUCUGAUUGAAUAGGGAACCCUUUAAUGGAUGUACCACUCCUUCAUAAGUCAUUCAUUAAAUGUUUUCACUCCUAAUAGUUACAUUAAUAGUUAUGUUGCUCCAAGUUGCUGAAUUUUAACUGUUAAAAAAAAUUUAUGAAAUGGUUUACAUUAUCAACUGAUUAGAAAAUUUAUAUGAGAAAACAAUUUUAAAAAUAGAUAAUUUUUUAAACAUCUUAAACAAGAGAGCCAAAUAUUUCAGACAUGCUAUACAUUUUAAUAGACAUAUUGAUAUUUCUGAAGAGAAACCAAGUUAUCCCUACUUUUAUUUACAAUACAGGAAUACAAAAUUGUCACAUACAGUACAAUGGUAAAAACAACAUAGAGAAUUUAAAUAAUUAUUUUAUUUGUGUAACUACUUAAAUAAUGAAAAUGGUUAUUCUAUUCACACCACGCCGUCUCAGCAGCUACAAUGCAACUUUCACAUUAAGUGCUAAAAAAUUAUAAUUUUCCAUUUUACAGCAUGAAUUCCUUUUUGAUGUUUUAAGACCAGGUACAGUUGUUUUAUUUCAGCAAACACAAGGAAAGCAGGAGACGAACAACAAGCACAUCAUUUAUGGCCACUAAACUUCAAUUGAAAAUCAAGUUAUUGAAACUAGAUUUUCAAAAUAAAAGCUGUGGAUAAAAUACAAGGAUAAAUAUUUGCCUUAAAAAUGGUUAAAACAACAGCUGUCAGUUCUGGGAAGACUGGCUUUACAGGAAGUGAAGUGGCAAAAGAAAAAUAAAAAAAUCAAAUGUUCUUAUUAGGAUGAGUCUCCGGUUUAAAAGAAUGCAUCUAUAUAUGCAUCUAUAAUAACAAA